rnacentral:lncRNA from 1 species
GUUGAAGUAUAAACAAAGAUGAGGAACCCCAUAAAGAUCUGAAAACUGUUGAAAAGAAAAUGACAUUUUCAAAGAGUUCCUUAGUUCUAAGUCUAAGUUUUUUAGGUAGCCUCUAUUCUUUUUGAAAAUGCCAGUUUCUUUUCAAGUUUCCAGAUCUAUUAAGGGUCUCUCAACUUUGUUUCCACUUCAGCACCCAUCAAUUUCUAGCACACUUCCACCAGUACUGAUUAGUUCUUACAACUACCUUGGUUUAGCUGUGGAUAUGAUGUAUUCAAUUGUUUUAGGGUAAUAUUUGGGUUUGUCAGGACGAAUUAGUCUUCUCUUUCUGAUUUCUCUAUAUGGUGUAUCUGUACCUGUACUUUUACUUAUCGACUGGAUAUUCUUCUGUGGGUUUGGAUUUUUUUUUUUUUGGCUUGUGUAAAUUUAUUUUUCUCUUCUGUUGCCAAUCUCUCUGGUUUUUUUCCAUUUUUUAUAUCUAUGUUUUUGUUUUCAUGUUUAAGUCUUUGUAAUUAAGUUUUACAUUUCUUGUUCUUUCUUUGGUUAUAUAAUGUCUAGUGUGUCCUUGAGGUGGAUCUUCUUUCAGAUUUUUUCUCAAUUUUCUGCUCAUCAAAGUUAUAGUCGAUGUUGACUUUGAUGGUGUGUUUUGGUCCCUUAUUAGUCUGUCUGAUUUUAUUCUCAAGUAAGUUUAGUAAGUUUAGUUUCAUCAAAUAUCUUUCCCAUCUUUUAUUUAUUUUAAGGUUGGAUAAGCAAGAUGAACUCAAAAUUUGCGAAACUUUCUAAGAUAAAAAUAUUGAAUAUGUGCAAAAACUUUUUGUUGUGGUAAAUUC